CUCAGCAACUUUAUUAGGGCAGGUCAGUUGGUACAGGAGUCGGCGGAGGCAGAGUUGGGCUUAGCAGAAAGCCUGGAAGAUAAUGCUGGAAUGCAGAGGCACCGAGGAUGUGAUGCAGCAAGAAGGCCACUGUCUGCAAACCAGGAAGAGGGCUCUCACCAAGAACAGAAUCAGCCAGCACCUUGACCUUGGACUUCCAGCCUCCAGAACUGUACUUAUUGACAGCGCUCAUUUGCUGAUGGCACUCAUGUAUUCCCUUGUAUUCUUUUUAUUUUUUAAUUUUUCAGUAUUUAUGUAUUUAAUUGAGGUCACAUUAGUUUAUAAUACUAUAUAAAUUUCAUAUGUACAUCAUUGUAUUUUGGCUUCCGUAUAGAGUGCAUCAUGUACACCACCAAAAGUUUUGUUUCCAUCUGUCACCAUAUACACGUGCCCCUUGGCCCCUUUUUCCCUCUCCCACCCCCUGCCCCUGUGGUAACCACCAAUCUUCACUUGUAUUCUAUUAACUGUUUUUUGUAUAUACAUUGUUUUUCAUUGUUUGUCAUUUUAAUGAAAUCUUUGGAGGUGGGAGAGAUAAAUGCCUAUACUCAGCCUGCCUAUGAAGUCAGAGGAU
rnacentral:lncRNA from 1 species